GUGUAUAAAACUCAGUCCUUUUUACUGCCAUGCAAAAAAUCCUGCCCCUGGUUUCAAGAUGAGGUUUUUGCUUGUGCUGGUGAUGCUGGCAACAUGUGCUGCAAGUCCUCAAGAUCUGUCACGUAAAAUGUUCACCUUCCCACAACAAACCAUCAGAGCUUACGUGAGGCUGAACCCAACAAAACAGGAUUUCAGCUUCGUAACUGUCUGUCACAGGUCAUUUACAGACCUCAAAAGAAGCCAUGUGCUCUUCUCUUUGGCCACACCCUCUCAUGACAAUGACUUCAUGAUUAUCUGGGAAAAUACAAACAAGGAGAUACAGCCUCA